rnacentral:tRNA from 1 species
AUCUAAAUAGUUUAAUAAAAAUGUUGGUUUGUGGUGCCUAUGAUAUAGAUAUCUAUUUUAGAUU